UACGAAGGGGGCUAGCGUUGCUCGGAAUCACUGGGCGUAAAGCGCACGUAGGCGGCUUUUUAAGUCAGGGGUGAAAUCCUGGAGCUCAACUCCAGAACUGCCUUUGAUACUGAGAAGCUUGAGUCCGGGAGAGGUGAGUGGAACUGCGAGUGUAGAGGUGAAAUUCGUAGAUAUUCGCAAGAACACCAGUGGCGAAGGCGGCUCACUGGCCCGGUACUGACGCUGAGGUGCGAAAGUGCGGGGAGCAAACAGG
rnacentral:rRNA from 1 species